rnacentral:rRNA from 1 species
GCUGUCUCCACCCGAGACUCAGUGAAAUUGAACUCGCUGUGAAGAUGCAGUGUACCCGCGGCAAGACGGAAAGACCCCGUGAACCUUUACUAUAGCUUGACACUGAACAUUGAGCCUUGAUGUGUAGGAUAGGUGGGAGGCUUUGAAGUGUGGACGCCAGUCUGCAUGGAGCCGACCUUGAAAUACCACCCUUUAAUGUUUGAUGUUCUAACGUGGACCCGUGAUCCGGGUUGCGGACAGUGUCUGGUGGGUAGUUUGACUGGGGCGGUCUCCUCCUAAAGAGUAACGGAGGAGCACGAAGGUUGGCUAAUCCUGGUCGGACAUCAGGAGGUUAGUGCAAUGGCAUAAGCCAGCUUGACUGCGAGCGUGACGGCGCGAGCAGGUGCGAAAGCAGGUCAUAGUGAUCCGGUGGUUCUGAAUGGAAGGGCCAUCGCUCAACGGAUAAAAGGUACUCCGGGGAUAACAGGCUGAUACCGCCCAAGAGUUCAUAUCGACGGCGGUGUUUGGCACCUCGAUGUCGGCUCAUCACAUCCUGGGGCUGAAGUAGGUCCCAAGGGUAUGGCUGUUCGCCAUUUAAAGUGGUACGCGAGCUGGGUUUAGAACGUCGUGAGACAGUUCGGUCCCUAUCUGCCGUGGGCGCUGGAGAACUGAGGGGGGCUGCUCCUAGUACGAGAGGACCGGAGUGGACGCAUCACUGGUGUUCGGGUUGUCAUGCCAAUGGCACUGCCCGGUAGCUAAAUGCGGAAGAGAUAAGUGCUGAAAGCAUCUAAGCACGAAACUUGCCCCGAGAU